rnacentral:rRNA from 1 species
GGGGGGGGGGGGGGGGGGGGCUGGGGGAUGGAGGGGGGGGGGGGCGGCGGGGAGCUGGCUCCUCGGCCGGGAGCGGCGGACGGGUGAGUAAGACGUGGGUAAGCUACCUGUAAGACGGGGCUAAAUUCGGGAAACCGGCGCUAGUACCGGAUAGUCUAUUGAACCGCAUGGUUCACUAGUGAAAGACGGUGUUGCAUUCACUUAUAGAUUGAUCCGCGCCGAAUUAGCUAGUUGGUCUGGGAACGGCUUACCAAGGCACCGAUGCGUACACGACCUGCGAUGGUCAGCGGCCACUCUGGAAACGAGACACGGUCCAGACUCCUACGGGAGGCCGCAGUAGGGAAUCUUCCGCAAUGGGAGAAAGCCUGACGGAGCAACGCCGCGUGAGUGAUGAAGGUCUUCGGAUCGUAAAACUCUGUUAUUAGGGAAGAACAAAUGUGUAAGUAACUAUGCACGUCUUGACGGUACCUAAUCAGAAAGCCACGGCUAACUACGUG